rnacentral:rRNA from 1 species
UGCGUAACGCGUAUGCAACCUACCUGUAACAGGGGGAUAACACUGAGAAAUCGGUACUAAUACCGCAUAACACUAUGAGAGGCAUCUCUUGUGGUUGAAAGUUUCGGCGGUUACAGAUGGGCAUGCGUUGUAUUAGCUGGUUGGUAAGGUAACGGCUUACCAAGGCGACGAUACAUAGGGGGACUGAGAGGUUAACCCCCCACAUUGGUACUGAGACACGGACCAAACUCCUACGGGAGGCAGCAGUGAGGAAUAUUGGUCAAUGGACGGAAGUCUGAACCAGCCAUGCCGCGUGCAGGAAGACGGCUCUAUGAGUUGUAAACUGCUUUUGUACAAGGGUAAACCUGAAUACGUGUAUUCAGCUGAAAGUACUGUACGAAUAAGGAUCGGCUAACUCCGUGCCAGCAGCCGCGGUAAUACGGAGGAUCCAAGCGUUAUCCGGAUUUAUUGGGUUUAAAGGGUGCGUAGGCGGAUUGAUAAGUUAGAGGUGAAAUGUCCGAGCUUAACUCGGGAACUGCCUCUAAUACUGUUGAUCUAGAGAGUAGAUGCGGUAGGCGGAAUGUAUGGUGUAGCGGUGAAAUGCUUAGAGAUCAUACAGAACACCGAUUGCGAAGGCAGCUUACCAAUCUAUAUCUGACGUUGAGGCACGAAAGCGUGGGGAGCAAACAGGAUUAGAUACCCUGGUAGUCCACGCAGUAAACGAUGAUAGCUCGUUGUCGGCGAUACACAGUCGGUGACUAAGAGAAAUCGAUAAGCUAUCCACC